rnacentral:rRNA from 1 species
UGGUGGGUAGUUUGACUGGGGCGGUCUCCUCCUAAAGAGUAACGGAGGAGCACGAAGGUUGGCUAAUCCUGGUCGGACAUCAGGAGGUUAGUGCAAUGGCAUAAGCCAGCUUGACUGCGAGCGUGACGGCGCGAGCAGGUGCGAAAGCAGGUCAUAGUGAUCCGGUGGUUCUGAAUGGAAGGGCCAUCGCUCAACGGAUAAAAGGUACUCCGGGGAUAACAGGCUGAUACCGCCCAAGAGUUCAUAUCGACGGCGGUGUUUGGCACCUCGAUGUCGGCUCAUCACAUCCUGGGGCUGAAGUAGGUCCCAAGGGUAUGGCUGUUCGCCAUUUAAAGUGGUACGCGAGCUGGGUUUAGAACGUCGUGAGACAGUUCGGUCCCUAUCUGCCGUGGGCGCUGGAGAACUGAGGGGGGCUGCUCCUAGUACGAGAGGACCGGAGUGGACGCAUCACUGGUGUUCGGGUUGUCAUGCCAAUGGCACUGCCCGGUAGCUAAAUGCGGAAGAGAUAAGUGCUGAAAGCAUCUAAGCACGAAACUUGCCCCGAGAUGAGUUCUCCCUGACUCCCUGAGAGUCCUGAAGGAACGUUGAAGACGACGACGUUGAUAGGCCGGGUGUGUAAGCGC